GCACGCGUCCCGUGAGUCGCGGAGGUAGGAGCAAGACGGGGUAGUCUUCAACUACUGGUCCUAACAGCGUGCAGCAUACACAUGCAUUCAAGCGAAUUGGAGGAAGGCGACUCUCAAGUCCUCCGCGACAUAUAAAAGCUAUGUUUGAACGAUCUACAGUAAAUCUUGAACAAAGAUGGACAGAAUGACACUAUUCUUAAGACCUUCGUGACUAGGAGCAAUCAGAAUGUAUACUCUUCAUUUCAAUCACUUGAAUGUCGAAGGAGGCAACCCUGUGCCUUAUUUAGAAGGUGUACUGUUACCAACUUAUUCCAUUGUUGAUGAGCUCAUCCAAAAUUAUUCAGAAGGUGUUAUGCAUAAAACGCACGAGUCCACACCACGACGACGACACAACAUUGUUCAGCUUACUUCAGGUUCCGGCGGUGGUGCAACCCCAGAGGAGGCCGUCGGCAUGGCACCCAGCCUCUUGUGGAGAAGCUCGACGGCCACCGCGUGAUGCGCAGCGAUCCGGUUUAUCAUGGCGCUGUUCGUGCUGGCCGCCGCCGG